GGGCUGGGGCAGCAGGUGAACGUGACCUGCCAGGUGGAGGCGGCGCCGUCCUCGGUGAGGCACUCCUGGGUGUUCAACAACUCGUUCACCUCACACCGGCUGCCCGGCGACCAGGUCUUCAUCACGCCAGGUGUUCGAGGCGUUGACGGGCCGGGGACAGGUGAAUGUGACCUCCGAGUACCCGACCUUCACCCUGGAGGGCCUCACACCUGGCCUCAAUUACAUCAUCCAAGGGACGGUGAGGAACAAGCUGGGCAGCACCGACCCCGUGAAGCUGGAGGCGCACACCUACAAGAUGGCCGAGAACAGGAUGGGAACACAAGAGGCUCCUCGGCGCCGCCUGAGAGGCACAGCGAACGGUUCUCAAGUAAGGACGCAACAGGUG